rnacentral:rRNA from 1 species
AAGGAGAAGUCGUAACAAGGUUUCCGUAGGUGAACCUGCGGAAGGAUCAUUGUCGAAUCCUGUAAACCACCGUGAACAUGUUUGUAAACUUGCGGGACGCGGGUGGACCUCUGUCUGCCGGCUGCCGCACCUAACGAAACUUCCGGCGCGGAAAGCGCCAAGGACAACUCAAAUGGAACGUCCGCGUCCCCCCUACGGUUUCCGCGGGGUGGGCGCGGGGAUUCUGAAUCGUAACUAAUACGACUCUCGGCAACGGAUAUCUAGGCUCUCGCAUCGAUGAAGAACGUAGCGAAAUGCGAUACUUGGUGUGAAUUGCAGAAUCCCGUGAACCAUCGAGUUUUUGAACGCAAGUUGCGCCCGAAGCCAUUAGGCUGAGGGCACGUCUGCCUGGGCGUCACGCAUCGUCGCCACCCCCUCCUCGCGUCUUGUGCAUGGAUUUGGGUGACGGAUUUUGGCCUCCCGUGUCUCCUACGGCGCGGCUGGCCUAAAUACGAGUCCUCUGUUCGGGACGUCACGACAAGUGGUGGUUGAAAACUUCAACUCGAUCGAAGCCGUGAUUGAGCCCGUGCUGGAGAUCUCAAAGACCCUUGAGCCUUAAGGCCCUCGAACAUGACCCCAGGUCAGGCGGGACUAC